AGAGUUUGAUCAUGGCUCAGGAUGAACGCUAGCGGCGCGCUUAAUGCAUGCAAGUCGAGCGAUGAGGCUCCUUUCGGGGAGUACAUCAGCGGCAGACGGGUGAGUAACACGUAGAUAACCUACCCUCAAGACGGGGAUAACCGGUGGAAACAGCGGCUAAUACCCGAUAGGCUCACAGCCUCGGGAGAGGGAGUGAGGAAAGGCUUCGGUGCUUGAGGAGGGGUCUGCGGCCCAUCAGCUAGUUGGUGAGGUAACGGCUCACCAAGGCGAAGACGGGUAGGGGGUGUGAGAGCACGACCCCCCACAAUGGGACUGCGACACGGCCCAUACUCCUACGGGAGGCAGCAGCAGGGAAUAUUGCGCAAUGGACGGAAGUCAGACGCAGCGACGCCGCGUGGGCGAUGAAGGCCUUCGGGUUGUAAAGCCCUUUACUGGGGGACGAGGCAGGACGGUACCCCAGCAACAAGCGUCGGCUAACUACGUGCCAGCAGCCGCGGUAAGACGUAGGACGCGAGCGUUAUCCGGAUUUACUGGGCGUAAAGCGCCUGUAGGCGGUCGGAUAAGUCGGAUGUGAAAGCCCCGUGCUCAACGCAGGGACGCCAUUCGAUACUGUCGGACUUGAGAGCGGCAGAGGGAAACGGAAUUUCUGGUGUAGCGGUAAAAUGCGCAGAGAUCAGAAAGAACACCAAUGGCGAAGGCAGUUUCCUAGGCCGCACCUGUCGCUGAGAGGCGAAAGCUAGGGGAGCGAACAGGAUUAGAGACCCUGGUAGUCCUAGCUGUAAACGCUGGAUGCUAGGUGUAGGUCGUAGAGAUCUGUGCCGGAGUUAACGCGAUAAGCAUCCCGCCUGGGGAGUACGGCCGCAAGGCUAAAACUCAAACGAAUUGACGGGGACCCGCACAAGCAGCGGAGCGUGUGGUUUAAUUCGAUGCUACACGAAGAACCUUACCUGGGCUUGACAUGUAGGUGGUAGCGAAGUGAAAGCGGAGCGACCCUUCGGGGAGCCUACACAGGUGCUGCAUGGCUGUCGUCAGCUCGUGCCGUGAGGUGUCGGGUUAAGUCCCGUAACGAGCGCAACCCUUGUCCUUAGUUACAAGUGUCUAAGGAGACUGCCGGUGACAAACCGGAGGAAGGUGGGGAUGACGUCAAGUCAGCAUGGCCCUUAUGUCCAGGGCGACACACACGCUACAAUGGCCGGUACAAUGGGUAGCUAAGCCGUGAGGCGGAGCCAAUCCUCCAAAGCCGGUCUCAGUUCGGAUUGCAGUCUGCAACUCGACUGCAUGAAGCUGGAGUUGCUAGUAAUCGCAGGUCAGCCAUACUGCGGUGAAUACGUUCCCGGGCCUUGUACACACCGCCCGUCACGUCAUGGGAGCUGGCAACACCUGAAACCGGUGGGCCGACCCGCAAGGGAGGUAGCCGUCUAAGGUGGGGCCGGUGACUGGGACGAAGUCGUAACAAGGUAGCC
rnacentral:rRNA from 1 species